AUGGGGCUGCGGGACAUCGAGAUGAUGCUGCCGCCGGGGUUCCGCUUCUACCCGAGCGACGAGGAGCUGGUGUGCCACUACCUGCACGGCAAGGUGGCCAACCAGUGCUUCACCGGAGGAGCCACCGGGACCAUGGUCGAGGUCGAUCUGCACGUCCACGAGCCAUGGGAGCUGCCAGACGUGGCGAAGCUGAGCACGAACGAGUGGUAUUUCUUCAGCUUCCGUGACCGCAAGUACGCGACGGGGCUGCGCACGAACCGCGCCACCAGGUCCGGCUACUGGAAGGCUACUGGAAAGGACCGCGUCAUCCACAGCCCGAGGUCGUCCUCAUCCGUCUCUGGUCACGCCGCCAUUGUCGGCAUGCGCAAGACCCUCGUCUUUCACCGCGGUCGCGCCCCCAACGGCACCAAGACCUGCUGGGUCAUGCACGAGUUAUCGAGAACCCUCACUCCCCACCCAAGGAGGACUGGGUGCUGUGCAGAGUUUUCCACAAGAAGAAAGCCGACAUUGAGUACGCCAUGGACGGCGAGCAGGAGCUCGGCGGCGGUGGCAUGGCUCACGGGUCUGCUGCCGUGA
rnacentral:rRNA from 1 species